CAUCUGAUGAGGAACAAAGAUCCGUCGCUUGCGGAUGGGGAUGCGUCUGAUUAGUUAGUCCGGCGGGGUUAACGGCCCACCGAGACGACGAUCAGUAGGGGUUCUGAGAGGAAAGUCCCCCACAUUGGAACUGAGACACGGUCCAAACUCCUACGGGAGGCAGCAGUGAGGAAUAUUGGUCAAUGGGCGAGAGCCUGAACCAGCCAAGUAGCGUGCAGGAUGACGGCCCUAUGGGUUGUAAACUGCUUUUAUAAGGGAAUAAAGUGAGCCUCGUGAGGCUUUUUGCAUGUACCUUAUGAAUAAGGACCGGCUAAUUCCGUG
rnacentral:rRNA from 1 species